rnacentral:lncRNA from 1 species
UUGCCUACACCCUAGUUGGAAUAGUGCACGUGCGAAUUAAGCAGGCCUAAGGCAUCCAAGUUCAGAAGAGACUCCAAGGUCCCUAAGCAUGGCUUACCAAAAGGGGGUAGGAACUUAAAGGGGCUAAGAAUAAGUUCAAAGUGAGGAUUAAUGGGAACCAGUGUAUAAAGUGGUGACACCCAGCCUACUGAUUGAGAGUGGCACACCCCAGACUCCUUACAAAGGUUACAAAUAGGAGCAUACUUGUAAACAAGUCAGACAAGGGCCUGGAAGGUGAUUAAGACACCAACAGGCCUUUGUCUAGGCUGAAACACAUAAGAGGGGAAAAGGGAAUGGGACCAUUCUGAGCAUAGGCAAUUAAGCCUUGGAUCUAGA